rnacentral:misc_RNA from 1 species
CUGUUUUGUUGUUGUUAUGACUUAUGACAUCCUAUAAUACUUUUCAAAUUUCAAGGUAUUUACCGGUUUCAGUAGUUUUCUUUUUCCUUUUUUCCGAUUGAAACCAUGAACGAUAUGGAAAUUGAGUUAGAUUUUAGGACAAUAAAGAUUGAUCUUCUGAAAGGGAUCUACAAUUGCUCGGAAAGAGGUCUUACACAGAGCCUGAAAUGGCUUACAGAACUGAAUUUUGCUGUAGAUCAGGUGGAAUUGAUGCCAGAAGAUAUUCCAGAUCUUCGUGAUGACUGCGGGGAUGAACAUGCCAGAUUUCUAAUGGCAAAAUCCUAUUUCAACUUAAAAGAGUAUGACAGAUGUGCUUAUUUUCUAAAAGACUGCGUAACACCAAAACCUCGUUUCCUAUACUUUUUUGCUAAAUAUUAUGCAAUAGAGAAGAAAAAAUUGGACAGUAUGACUGAUACAAACUGUCCUCCUGAUCCUUCAAAUAAUGAGUCCCUAAAAACCUUGUAUUCAGAGUUGAAAAAUGAUUUUUAUGAAAAUAAAUUGGAUGGUUACUGUUUAUAUCUUUAUGGAGUAGUCCUUAAAAAGUUAGAUUUAAAGUCUUUGGCGGUGGAUGCAUUAAUAAAAGCAGUACAAGAUGAGCCAAUGCUUUGGAGUGCAUGGUUUGAGCUAGGAAAAUUAACAUGCAUAAAAAAAACUGACACUACAGCAAUUUCAAACAAGCUUCCCGAUCAUUGGAUGAAAUACUUUUUUUGGGCACAUGCCUAUUUGGAGCAGCUGAAUAAUGAUGGGGCUUUGAGGAUAUAUGAAAGGUUUUGUGAUCUUGGACUGCAGAACAGUACCUAUAUCAUGUCACAAAUUGCAUUAGGACACCAUAAUAAUAGAGAACUGGAUGAUGCCAUAGAAAUGUUCACAAAAAUCCUAGUAGUGGACCCAUACAGGUUAGACAACCUGGACACAUAUUCAAAUCUUUUAUACGUCCUAGAGCGAAAAACCGAACUGGCCAACUUAGCCCACAAAGCAGUCGACAUUGAUAAGUACAGAGUAGAAACUUGUUGCGUUAUAGGUAACUACUAUAGUUUGAGAUCAGAUCAUGCAAAGGCUGUCCUGUACUUUAAACGCGCUUUAAAGCUAAAUCCUCAGUUUUUGUCAGCGUGGACCCUGAUGGGUCAUGAGUACAUGGAAAUGAAAAACACUAAUGCAGCUAUUGAGAGUUAUCGACGUGCCAUAGAGAUAAAUGAAAGGGAUUAUAGAGCUUGGUACGGUUUAGGACAGACCUACGAAAUUUUAAAAAUGCCCUCCUACUGUUUGUAUUACUACAAACGUGCUCAGGAACUGAAGCCCAACGACAGCAGGAUGUUGAUCGCGAUGGGUGAAACCUACGAGAAACUUAACAAACCAGAAAACGCGUUAAAAUGUUAUUACAAGGCGUAUAAAGUGGGCGAUGUCGAAGGAUUGGUACUAGUUAAAUUAGCAAAACUUUAUGAUAAACUAGACGAUAAGGAAAAUGCCGCCGCUGUUUUACUUGAAUUUUGUCUAAACGAAAUCGAUAAGGGAGACAAUUUGUCUGAAGAGAGGACCGAAUAUUAUAAUUCCUUGCUCUAUUUGGCCAAUUAUUUCUUUGGAAAGGGCGAUUUUAAUGAGGCCUAUACGUAUUCUUAUAAAUGUAUGGAAUCUGAGGAGACAAAAGAGCAAGCAAAAGCCCUCCUAAAAGCCAUAGCGGCCAAAAGGGCGGAACAAGGUCAAGAGAUGGAGGGUCACGACGCCACUUUCGACCCUGAGAUGACCAAUAACCAAUCAAAUAAUGAUGCAAGCGACAUGGAUUUGACCACUUAAUAUUGUCCAUUAUGGGCCUUACAUAUCCAUACUCAUUUUUACACCAGUCUUUUCUUCUACCGCAUUCCACCAGUUACUACCCAACACGAAUAUCAUCCAAAAAAUAAAAAUCACCAAAGUAAGUCCCAUUACGAUUUUUAGUGGUUGCGAUUCGUGGCUUCUAAGAUGUUCCAGUUGUUCGGUUUUCGGGAUGUUCUUCCAAUUUUUUUUCCAGCUCUUUUACUUGUUCUUCGAUUUCUCGACAUCGGUCCUCGGCAUAAGAAAUCUACGAAAAAGAUGUACGAUGUAAAAUUUUAUUAAUUAGUAGUACUAAAUAA